rnacentral:rRNA from 1 species
AUUGAACGCUGGCGGCAGGCCUAGCACAUGCAAGUCGAACGGUAACAGGGAUCAGCUUGCUGAUUCGCUGACGAGUGGCGGACGGGUGAGUAAUGUCUGGGAAACUGCCUGAUGGAGGGGGAUAACUACUGGAAACGGUAGCUAAUACCGCAUAACGUCGCAAGACCAAAGAGGGGGACCUUCGGGCCUCUUGCCAUCGGAUGUGCCCAGAUGGGAUUAGCUAGUAGGUGGGGUAACGGCUCACCUAGGCGACGAUCCCUAGCUGGUCUGAGAGGAUGACCAGCCACACUGGAACUGAGACACGGUCCAGACUCCUACGGGAGGCAGCAGUGGGGAAUAUUGCACAAUGGGCGCAAGCCUGAUGCAGCCAUGCCGCGUGUAUGAAGAAGGCCUUCGGGUUGUAAAGUACUUUCAGCGGGGAGGAAGGGAGUAAAGUUAAUACCUUUGCUCAUUGACGUUACCCGCAGAAGAAGCACCGGCUAACUCCGUG